rnacentral:rRNA from 1 species
UAAGGAAUAUUGGUCAAUGGGCGGAAGCCUGAACCAGCCAUGCCGCGUGCAGGAAGACGGCCCUACGGGUUGUAAACUGCUUUUACAGGGGAAUAAACCCCCGUACGUGUACGGGGCUGAAUGUACUCUGAGAAUAAGGAUCGGCUAACUCCGUGCCAGCAGCCGCGGUAAUACGGAGGAUCCAAGCGUUAUCCGGAUUUAUUGGGUUUAAAGGGUGCGUAGGCGGCCUGUUAAGUCAGGGGUGAAAGACGGUAGCUUAACUAUCGCAGUGCCCUUGAUACUGAUGGGCUUGAAUAUACUAGAGGUAGGCGGAAUGUGACAAGUAGCGGUGAAAUGCAUAGAUAUGUCACAGAACACCAAUUGCGAAGGCAGCUUACUAUGGUAUGAUUGACGCUGAGGCACGAAAGCGUGGGGAUCAAACA